rnacentral:rRNA from 1 species
UACGAAGGGGGCUAGCGUUGCUCGGAAUCACUGGGCGUAAAGGGCGCGUAGGCGGCGUUUUAAGUCGGGGGUGAAAGCCUGUGGCUCAACUGGGGAAGUGCCUCUGAUACUGGUCAUCUCGAGGGAGAUAGGGGCGUGCGGAACUUCCGGUGGAGCGGUGAAAUGCGUAGAUAUCGGAAGGAACACCGGUGGCGAAAGCGGCGCGCUGGAUCUCUUCUGACGCUGAGGCGCGAAAGCCAGGGGAGCGAACGGG